CCAGCGCCGCCAAACGCAAACCGCCAAUCUAAUUUGAAUUUGAAAGAGCCAUCUUCGCCGCGCCGUUAAUUUGCACCGCACUUUUAUCGAGUGCUAGUGCGAUAAAGAAGGGUAAAGAAGGCCGUUUUAAUAAUAAUUCAACCACUGAAAUCACACGGACCAGAUUUGGACAAUGACUUGAAAGCUAAGACAUUCGCAGUAGGCUCUACAGGAGAGAGGGAGACCCAAAACCACCUGGAGUCAUACUGAGCCUCGAGGAGGAGAUGAAGUCAGUGAACAUGACCUGGGGUACCGGGCGGUAGUUUCCAGAAGAAGGCCCAGCUCAGAACCGCCAGGACUCAGGAGUGGAGAUCCGAAUACUUCGUUGCUGCCCUCCAUAUGAGGAGGCUGUAA